rnacentral:rRNA from 1 species
AUUGAACGCUGGCGGCAGGCCUAACACAUGCAAGUCGAGCGGAUGAAGGGAGCUUGCUCCUGGAUUCAGCGGCGGACGGGUGAGUAAUGCCUAGGAAUCUGCCUGGUAGUGGGGGGUAACGUCCGGAAACGGGCGCUAAUACCGCAUACGUCCUGAGGGAGAAAGUGGGGGAUCUUCGGACCUCACGCUAUCAGAUGAGCCUAGGUCGGAUUAGCUAGUUGGUGGGGUAAAGGCCUACCAAGGCGACGAUCCGUAACUGGUCUGAGAGGAUGAUCAGUCACACUGGAACUGAGACACGGUCCAGACUCCUACGGGAGGCAGCAGUGGGGAAUAUUGGACAAUGGGCGAAAGCCUGAUCCAGCCAUGCCGCGUGUGUGAAGAAGGUCUUCGGAUUGUAAAGCACUUUAAGUUGGGAGGAAGGGCAGUAAGUUAAUACCUUGCUGUUUUGGCGUUACCAACAGAAUAAGCACCGGCUAACUUCGUG